CGGCCGUCCCAGCGGCUCCAUCCUUUUGAUGCCGCUUCUGAGGAUCCAGGAAGCAAAUGUCAGACUUGUCAAGGCUGUCACCGAGAACAUGAUCCGUGGCGCCGGGCUGCGGGCUUCAGCGACAGCCGCCUGAGGCGAGGCGAGGCAGGCGCCUGGGUCCGUGUCCAGCGUCCGGCGGGCUCCUUGGCCCUCGAUCCCCAGCAUGCGUUGUUCAGGGCUUCUCCUUCAUGGAUCCAAGAGGGACAAAGAACAGGAGUUGCUGCCCGGGCCCCGAAGGCGAGGCCCAGAGCCAUUCCGUUCGGGAAAGAUGCCGCGGCUUGGGCGGCCUUAGGGUGGCAGUGCAGCUCCAUGGCUCCGCCCCCGAGGGUCGAGACUCACGUGGUGCCUCAGGGCUGUGCCCAGGAAGCUCCGGGAGGGCCCACACAGGUUUCAAAGGGACGUUUGAAAUAAAUGGCGGCCUACGGAAGGAGACGCGACCUUCUCUUGGCACCAUGGAAGGAGCUUCGUCCUCGGAGCUCAGAAGACAUCCAGGCAGGCCCCACGUGACCUCCCUCACAUUCCACUUCCGGUCAAGCGGGAAGCACCUUCCUCCCGGCCAGGUAGACUGGGGGCUGGAGCUGUGGGUGCGGAAUCAGGAAGACUUCAGAUGAAUUCCUGCCUCAGACACCAACUGGCAUGGCCCUGGCUGAGUCACUUCAUCUCUCUGCCUCAGUUUCCUCCUGCGAGGAUGAGAAUGAAGCCGAGAGAAAGGAGGGCCCCCAGGAUCUUAGCCUAGAGUACAAACACUCCAGGAAGUGACGGAGUCCUUGCUGUCAAACUCUGAGAGCCUCUAAUAAAGCUGUCAAGAAUGGAAGCUCGUCCAGUGGCUGGAUUUCUUUUCCUCGCCUUCGCAGGUAUCUCUUCUUUCUUUUCACCGUCACUUUUGGCUGCAGACCCGCCAUUCUGCCCUCUUCUGACAUUUUCUUUAGAACCCAAAGGGCCAACUGUCCCCUCUCAGCCCAGCUGAGCUCGUGGGCCUCCUCACAUUCUUUGGUGCUCAUCUCCAGGGCUGGGGAUUUCUGGCAAAAAGCCUCAAAGCCUCCAUGAGGGAACAGCCUGCUUCUAAAGUGAACCCAGAGUACGGACUUCCAAGCAUGCCCCUCAGUUUUCCAUGUAGACUACGAUGUCCUCCCCCAUGGGACGAAGCAGCAGCCCCUGCAGAGGUUGGUUUUUUUUUUUCUCAAGCCAUCGGAGCUCUCCUCUGUGGACCUGCUGGACUCUUCCUCUGAGGCCAAGCAUAAAAAGCAUCAGGGUAUCAGUGGACAGUUUGUGUCCCAAGAGCUCCACAUUCACGCCCGGUCUCCGUCUUGCCCAUUAGGAACCAGAGACUAAGAGGGGCCACACGACCCACUUGAGGGGACACGGGGCAAUGGGGCUCAGGCCUUGGUUCCCCCUCCGGGGCGCAGAGCUUCUUUGCCCUCCUUCCCCCAGAUCUCUGUGAAUACCGGACCCAAGAGAGAGGAAACUCUUCACUCGUCACUCAUUGACUUUCCAAGAGGCCUUGGCUUAAUCGGUCCUAGCUAGUGUUCCCCAAGACCCAAUCAAGUAGUCAGAGGAUCCCCAACUGCACUCCCUUCCUUUUGAGGGCUCAGCAGACACUACGGCCGCUGGCUGCCUAUCCUCGGCCCCGGAGGGAUUAUCAACAGAUUAUGUGCAGGCCUGUGCAAUGGCAGCCUGCCUGGUGGGAUGGAGAAGGUGUUCGAUGAGGCAUCAGGAGGGUCUGGCUUGGGAGUCAGCCUCGGGGCCUCAGCUCUGGUUUCCUCAUCCCUGAAGAGGGCGUGCUAAGGGCGCUCCCCUCCCAGGGUUGUCCUGGGGACCCCCACGAACCAGCCGGGCACAAAACCGAAAGCACCUCUGCUAUCCUGAGCAGCAGAAACAGGAACAGCCGUGGGCAGGGAGAGGCUCACCAGUGACCACUCCGAGUGCUAAAGUCAAGCCAGGGGUCAGGGAUGGGCCCCGUAAGCAAGGACAGAAGCCGCUUGGAGGAGAGGGUGGCGACCCCCUCUGUCUGCCCCCACCCAGCUCCCAGCCUGUGUGAGCAUUUACUUUUCCAAGGCUGGAUUCAUUCCUAAAUCAGGGCCACCAUCCAGAGUCCCUAUUUUACAUUUUCUUUGUUCUUAGGAAUCCCUAGAAAUGGGUCCCUUCCAGCAGAAUUUGGUGAAUAAAUGAAGGGGAUGUGGGGAUGGGAGCCCUUGACAUGGGAUGGGGAAGGUGGGUGUUGGGUGGACCACCUGCUAAUUAGCUACUUACCUAUUAGAGACAGCUUGGGAUGGUCAAGGGAAGGGCCAAAUGAGCUUCGAUCCUGAUCCAGGCCCAUCAAGGUCUUUAAUCCUCAAGAGGGCCAGCGGCCUGCCACUCUAUUGGUUACGAUUCGGGCCUAAUCAAAAACGGACAGUCUCUCUGGAGAUGAGACUCUCAGAAGAAUUGUAACCCUAACACCUGCUCGCCAAAGCCACCUCCAUUCUGUCCUGUCCCAGGAUGAGAAGACCUCGUGCUGAAAGAGCUCGUGGCGAUCCUGAGCCCGGGGUCCGAGGACUCCCCCAGCUGGGCUCCACGUUAGUCUUAGCUCUUCUCUAAUGGAAAAUGACCGGGUCUUUCAAUGACAUAAAAACCGUGUUCCAAGGAUCCGGAGGUGGCACUAGGCUGCCUCCCAAAAGGAUUCAGGGCUGUGCAAAAAGCUUAGGGCCUGAUUAGACCAACUCCCCGAUUUCUAGCAACUGAGGAAAGGGAGGCGCCCGCCUUGGGACCCCGCAUGUGGCCCGUGGCAAAGCUGGGAUUAGCUGGGAGUGAAGGGAGAUGGCGAUGAAGAGGGGGUGCAGAGUCCUCCAGCUCGGCUUUGUGGGUGUGUGCACACUCGCCCUCCCGUGGGGCUCUCCAGAAGCUCAGGGGCACCCAAAUGUGUCCGCCAGCCUUCAGACCAAGGAGCCUCUGGGGAGCACGCCUGCUCCCCUGCCCGUCCUUCAAGCGCCCUCAUCUGCUCUCUGCUUGUGGAGAUGACAGCGGGGUUAGAGCGCAAGAUUUUCUCUGAUUUCAACGGAUAUAGACCUCAUUUUGAAAAACAAACAAACAAACCCACCAGACUUUGCACUAUAGGAAUCUCUGAUCUUGGAAUCUUUCUCUUUCUACUUCGUCUCUCAUAACUCCAAAUCUUUCCAGCAAUUCAAGGGAAAAGCUGGCUGCUGAGUGCUGUGCUCUUCAGCAGCCCUUAUUUACUGCUGUCAUUUGGGGAUUGUAGGGGGAAGGGGGAGAGGCUUAGGAAAGGGGCCACACAAGGAAAUUCAUAAUUCUAUUAACCAAAGGAAGGGAAGGGUGGACCAUCUGACUAUUUCCCAGCCCGAGUCUUAACCCGAUCCAGUUUCUGCACUAGUCUUACUCUGACUAAACGAAGCGAAUCUCCAAGUUAAGUAAAGGCUCAAGUCCAAACAGGGAGCCCAGAUUCUCACUCAGUUCCAGAGUCCUUGGUGGGUCAGACUGAAGAAUUCGGUUGAAGGGCCUUAAGAGAUCCAGGGAGUAGAGGGAUCCUCAGCCAAAUCACUGUCCACCAGGAUGAAUGGGGGGGUCCCACUCCACCUUUUCUUAAUGCUAAUCCAAGGCCUGCAGCUUAAGAGAUGGUUAUUUCAGGGAGCCUCUCCGAUGCACAGCUUCGGUGUUGAGCUCCUGCUUCAGAGACAGACGGGUGAAAAACGAUCCAACAACGUGCAAUCUUCCCCCAGCCAGCUCUUAAACAUCCAGGCUUGAGGGCUGUCAGUCGAUCUUUGCAGCUUCGCUUGCUACACUACCUUCCAACUCUAGGAUUCUGUGGGCUUCAGUCUGAAGCUGCUACAACUCGCUGCAUCUCAUCCCUCUUCAUAGCCCCCCAACUCUAACUAGAUAGAACCCAGCUCCAAAGGGCUGAUCAUUUCUGCAAGGGAAACAAUGACAGGAUUGAUAUUGAAGCCAUAUUGGUGCACGCCUCAGCCCAAUGGCACUCGCCACAGGGCUUUCCAUCGCUCCUUGCAUACUUGUCCCCCUGAUUCUUCUGAGAUAACAUAAUGGGGACCAUGCGUUGCCGCCAUCCCACAUCAUGGGGAGAACUUUCGAGGCCAAGAGCUGCCUAUAGGGGCUGGUUAGCAGUUUGCCUGCACAGUCUCCCAAAUUUAAUCCCAUUUGCUCUUUCCUCCCUGACCAGAAGACCGAGAAUGGAGGGCCAGCUUCUGGGGUAGGGGCAAGGGAUGCAUUUUCACACGGGAAAGAAAACUCCUGUGUAGAAAUUGGGAGAUUUAUCUUAUUCUAUGGAGAGACCUCUCUGGCUCAGCUGGGCAGUAAUCCUGGAGAACUGCUGGAUCGCGCCCUGUUCCGUACUGUUGGGCUUCACUGUUUUAGGUCUUUUGGCAGGCAGAGGGUAGCUACAGCGCUAAAGGUGGGUGGAGGCUUUCAUUUCCUGAGGCUCUUGCUGCUGUACAUCAACAAUUCUCACCCUAGAGUGCCUACUUUGCCAAUGUGGGGGAUAAAACUUCAUCCAGGAUGCUCACUUUGGGGAAAGAAAUGCUGGAGGCUGAGAUGGCAGAGUAAAAGCAUGGCAAUCUUGAACCACAUUGAGAAUCCUCUCUAAUGAGCUUUGAAAGAAUUCUUCAAAACGAGUUCUGGAGGGACAGAACCAGCAAGAGGAUGGAGUGAAGCAGUUAUCCUGCAGAAAACAACUUGGAAGGUAGGCAGAGAGGGGCUGGUUCACUGGGGUGAGAGGGGAGCACACCCAGCAGCAAGGUCAAACCAAGAAGCACCAGCAUAAGCCAACAGCAAGCCCCCCAUCCUACCCCAAUGCUCCAGGUUCUGAACCUGGAUAAAAUAAAAGUUGAGAAAAAGGCUAGGAAAAUGAGCAAGCAUUCAAGAAAAACACCUAACCAUAGAAAAUUAUUAUGGCAACAAAGAGUGAGACACAGACUCAGAAGAGGAGAGGGAGAUUAAAGUAGCUAUAUGAAAAACUUCAAAGAAAAAUGGGAAUCAGUCUCAGGCUCUAGAAAAGCUCAAAAAGGAUUUCAAAAAUGAAAUAAAAGAGGCUGUGUAAAAAUGAAGAAGGGAAUUGAAAGCAAUGUAAGAAGAAAAUAACACCUUAGAAAGAAGAAUAUGUCAAAUGAAAUAAGAGGUGCAGAAAUCCAUUGUAGGAAUAUGUUUCUUAAAAA